ACUGGCCAACCCCAAAUAUUUAUUACAACUUACUACAAACUAGAAAUAAAUCACAUCAGAAAAGUACAACCAGAGGAAGCCUGAUUUUGACUUUCUAUCUGAAUUAUGAGAUAGACCAACUCGAAGAGCAUCGAUCCAAAGCCUUUCUCCAAUUUGAGCGUGUUAGAGUUCCCUAAAAGCCUCAAUGGGACUCCGGGUAGUGCACACAACCAAAUUGUAUUACCAGAAUAGGGAUAAUUCCAACAUAGACGGGUCAUCCCUCAAGUGGCCAAGUUCAAAAGAAGCUAAAUGGGACCCAAGGCAAGACUUACAAGAGGGGGAAAGCUGAAAGUCUAAGAGAGAGUGCAAGUGAAGAAAUAGAGUUUUAAAGAACUAAGCAAUUAAAGAGGAGAGGAAGAGGUACUGGAAAAUAGUUACAUGAUUGAGGAUUUCAUACUAAGGGGUUCAGGGAUUGGGGAUUGCAAACAGCCUAUCUACUUAAGCAUUAGCUAAUUAUGGGCAUGCACAACAAUAGAGAGUGUUGUUAUGCUUACAAAAUCAACAAAAAUACAUAACAUAUGAUGGUGACAUAGAGGUUAUGUCUCCAGGGGAAUCAAGUUUGAGUCAUAUACAGUAAUACUCAAUAUUGUCAUGCCUCAAACAAACCAUUAGCAUCAAACAUAUUUAGGAUGCAUAGUAGAUGCAGCACAGACAGAAGGAAAUUAUAACAUGCUAAAGUAAGUGCUGAACUAAACACAAGCAGUAGGCAGACAAUAGGGUAAAAGUAUUAAGUAAACACAUUGUUGUGAUUGCUAAAAAUCUUAAUCAGAACAUACCAGUUUCAAAGGGCAUGAUACAGUAAAAGCAAAUAGUAGGACUUGAAAGCAGGCCACAGUUCAAGUAUCAAGAGAGAAUAAUCUUUUAGAAUGAGGGUGAGUUCAAAAUUUAAGAGUGUUCAUGUGUAAGUGAUUAGAGAACACAGAGUGUUCGUCUGUGUGUGGCAAUGAAAGAGCAUGUAUU
rnacentral:lncRNA from 1 species